rnacentral:rRNA from 1 species
AGUGAACGCUGGCGGUAGGCCUAACACAUGCAAGUCGAACGGCAGCACAGUAAGAGCUUGCUCUUACGGGUGGCGAGUGGCGGACGGGUGAGGUAUACAUCGGAAUCUACUUUUUCGUGGGGGAUAACGUAGGGAAACUUACGCUAAUACCGCAUACGACCUCCGGGUGAAAGCAGGGGAUCUUCGGACCUUGCGCGAUUGAAUGAGCCGAUGUCGGAUUAGCUAGUUGGCGGGGUAAAGGCCCACCAAGGCGACGAUCCGUAGCUGGUCUGAGAGGAUGAUCAGCCACACUGUAACUGAGACACGGUCCAGACACCUACGGUGAGCAGCAGUGGGGAAUAUUGGACAAUGGGCGCAAGCCUGAUCCAGCCAUACCGCGUGGGUGAAGAAGGACUUCGGGUUGUAGAGCCCUUUUGUUGGGAAAGAAAAGCAGCAGGUUAAUACCCCGCUGUUCUGACGGUACCCAAAGAAUAAGCACCGGCUAACUUCGUG